UGCUCUCUGAAAACACCCUGGAGGAAUU
rnacentral:piRNA from 1 species